rnacentral:rRNA from 1 species
GAUGAACGCUGGCGGCGUGCCUAUCACAUGCAAGUCGAGCGAACCCUUCGGGGUGAGCGGCGGACGGGUGAGUAACGCGUGGGUAACCUGCCAUAUACACACGGAUAACGUACCGAAAGGUACGCUAAUACGAGAUAACAUAUUUUUAUUGCAUGGUAGAAAUAUCAAAGCUCCGGCGGUAUAGGAUGGACCCGCGUCUGAUUAGCUAGUUGGUAAGGUAAUGGCUUACCAAGGCGACGAUCAGUAGCCGACCUGAGAGGGUGAUCGGCCACAUUGGAACUGAGACACGGUCCAAACUCCUACGGGAGGCAGCAGUGGGGAAUAUUGCACAAUGGGCGAAAGCCUGAUGCAGCAACGCCGCGUGAGCGAUGAAGGCCUUCGGGUCGUAAAGCUCUGUCCUCAAGGAAGAUAAUGACGGUACUUGAGGAGGAAGCCCCGGCUAACUACGUGCCAGCAGCCGCAGUAA